CAGUCGCCGCGGUAAUACGAAGGGGGCUAGCGUUGCUCGGAAUGACUGGGCGUAAAGGGCGCGUAGGCGGUUUGGACAGUUGGGUGUGAAAUCCCCGGGUUAAGCCCGGGGACUGCGCUCGAUACAUCCAGGCUUGAGUGAGGAAGAGGGUCGUGGAAUUCCCAGUGUAGAGGUGAAAUUCGUAGAUAUUGGGAAGAACACCGAUGGCGAAGGCAGCCCCCUGGGCCAACACUGACGCUCAUGCACGAAAGCGUGGGGAGCAAACAGGAUUAGAUACCCCCGUAGUCCCUGUCUCUUAUAC
rnacentral:rRNA from 1 species